AUGAAACGUAAGCUCAUUCAUUAAAUUUUCUAAUGAACUCUUCAAUUUUUUUUUCGGAUUUUCGGAUUGAAAAGCUUCAUAUACAAAAGUGGGGUUCUAAUUCCGGCCAUUAUCCUUCCACCACCCGUUUGAACUUGAAUGACGUCAUAUGGAUUUGAGAUAUAUGCACAUAAUGUGACUUUGAACGUGAAGUUCGACCUUGACACUCGACGUUUUGAUGACCUUGAGAUUGCGCUGUUAAAUUUUGCAGAUGUUGGACCCAUGUUCAUUAGUUGCUUCUAUCAGAGCCAUUUCGCAAUGGACGGAUAGUUGCUUCAGAGAUUUUAUUCUGAGACAGAAAAUUUGAGAAGAAUUAGAACUGGAGAGAAAACACAAUCUGGAGGUUGUCAUAGACCCACGAACUCAUGUCCAAACUUCUCGAUUAGGUAAUACCGAAAGAAUGUUUUCCCGUAAUAUGAGAAAAACAGUAGUCCAAAAGAGGUCACGAAUACAGAUUGAACCAAUUCCAGCAAAGAAGAGGAAAAUGUUGGAACAAUUGACUCCAAGUGAUUAGGAGAUGAAGACGAAGAGAGCUAGAAAGUGUGUGAAAUAUCGAUUAUAAAUAAUUGAUUGUAAAAUUUCAAACUUCAUUUGUGAUUCUGUGAUUUGAAAUAAAAUUCAUAUCUUUUA